rnacentral:rRNA from 1 species
UACGUAGGGUGCGAGCGUUAAUCGGAAUUACUGGGCGUAAAGCGUGCGCAGGCGGUUCUCCAAGUCCGUUGUGAAAGCCCCGGGCUCAACCUGGGAAUGGCAGUGGAAACUAGGGGACUUGAAUCUGGGCAGAGGGGGGUGGAAUUCCACGGUGUAGCAGUGAAAUGCGUAGAUAUUGGGAGGAACACCAGUGGCGAAGGCGGCUCACUGGACCGGUUCGACGCUGAGG